CCUAUCCUUUGUUCCAAGAUUUUUUCCAUUUCUUCAUAUUGUUCAGACCGUCUCACUGCACUCAAUAGACUUCAUGUAAAAUUUUUGGACCAUUAAUGCAGGCUCCAUUUUCUUGUCCCAGCCAAAACCUCUAAUCAUGGCUGAGUACGCUUGAACUGGCAAUUCACAUCCUUAAGAUUCUUAAGAACACUCUUCUAUAUCAUCCACAGUUUUCGUGAAAUGUAAGCUCCAAGCGAGCGCAAGAACACCAAUCUUUCUAUCCUGUUCUUCCACAACUUCUCCCUCACUUUCACUUCCCUAUUUUUUUUACUCAUCACUACUAUCAUCAUUUCUUUCUAAAUCAUUAUCACUUUUAUCUCUCUCAUGUUUCAAGGAUGACCGAUCAUCUAAACUUGGGAUUACUCUAUGAAACCCAUCCCCAAUUUCUUGUUGCCCCAAUGUCGAAGCUAAAGCCAGUGAUGAACCAAAAGAGCCUUCCUUUGGCUCACAAAAACAAACAUAUUUAAUCUUUGAAUACUCGGAGAAAAACCCACUUUUCACACCAAAUUCCAAGCUUCCACAACAAGUCCCACUUAAAUCAUACCUCGAAUUGUUUUAAACCGUAAAGAAAACAGAACUUGCACCAUGAAAAAGAGUGUCAAUAAUACCCCAUCUCUUGGUAUCAGGUGGUUAAGGUGCUCGUUCAUCCUCAAUGAGAUCUUGGGUUCGAGUCAUCCCAACUAGCCCUUGCUGAGGAGAUAUAUCUACAUCUCAAAACUCCGCUCGUGGAGAUGCUCUUAGCUUCGGUUCCGACAGAGGUGUGGUGGGGGUCCCUCCAUAUAUACGGGCACAAUAUUCCCUACCAGGUAUGAGGUCAACCUAUCUUUAUACCUAUUUUUUUCACAGAAAAAAGAACCACAUUUCUUGCUUCUUCUAGCACUUAAAAGACAAGAAGAAUCAACCUCAAACUCCAAAUGGCGCACUACACAUAAGCCACCACUCAACGGCAAAACACUUAAAGCUUGCAUUUUGAGAGAUACUUCAGCAAUGAACAAAAAAACCUAGAAUAGAAAAUAAUAAUUAAAGAACAAGAAAACAUGAUAUCCACUUAUUCUCAGGGAUGCUUCCAACAAUGGUUUCGGAUGGUACAAAAAAUAUAUAUAAUUAAUUUGUUGCGGUUUGAGCCGUUAUAAAAAAUGUCUCAGUAAAACAUUGUUGUCAUGUGAAGAGAUUCAUUAAUCAUUAGAACAAUAUUAUUCUAUUUUAAGUCUCUAGAAAUUUUUAUGCUUUGGUCAAUCAAUUUUNNNNNNNNNNNNNNNNNNNNNNNNNNNNNNNNNNNNNNNNNNNNNNNNNNNNNNNNNNNNNNNNNNNNNNNNNNNNNNNNNNNNNNNNNNNNNNNNNNNNUGAUGUUGAUGAUUUGUUUCCAUGUGGGCACAUGAGGUACUGAGAUGCUCGGUUCUUGGUUUUGCAAGACAAAAUUUAUUCUUAUUAAUUUUAAAAAAUUAGAGCUGAAGGAAUUUUCAACCCUUUUUUCCAACUUCAAGGACUUUUUUUCAUGGUCAAUGAGAGCUCAAGGCCAAUUUUACAAUUUGUUCCUUGAACUUUUUUUUUCAAUUUGAUCCCUGUUUAUUUGUUUUAUUUUUUCUUCUUGAUACAGGGAUCUUGCAAUAGCGAGAGAAUUUUUUGAUGCUUCAUUGAUGCUCAAUUUUGCAAAAUAAAACACAAUUAGGCUAAUUUAAGAAUAUUAAGUGUUGAGGGUGUAAACCUCCGACCUGAAUUUUUAGUAUUAAUGAAAAUUCAAAUUUAACCUGAGAAUAGGGUUAAUUAGAAAAUAAAAUAAGAAGAUAUUGAAUACAUUGAAAUAAGUUUGAAAAAUUAAAAUAAAAAAAUAAAAAAAUAAAUAUAAAAAAAUACAGAAACACAAAUAAAAGUUUAAUGGAAAGGAUACACAAGAAAAUAAAAAAAGGUAUUGGGAUAUAAUUUAAUGAAACUUGAAACAGCUCAACUUAAAUUUAUCAUAAAUAAAUGAUGAAAUCUAGAAAACAUUACUCGAGAAACAUAAAAAAAAAAUUGUAAAAGAGGGAUAUAUUGCGAAUUAACAAAAUUAUUAUUUUAUAUAUAUAUAUGCGCAUGUGUGUUGCCGACCUUUAAUGGAAAGAAGGAGGGAAUGAAAGUUCAUUUUCUUAAGCUUAAUCUUGUGAAAACCUAGGGAAAACUAAAGAUUUAAGGGGGAAGUGUGAGAUUUUACUAGAAUAAACAUUUAAUCACAUGAAAUUAGAAAGAUUUAGUGAGGGGAAAGUGAGGUAUUAGAGAUAAAAAGUUAGGGAGGUGAAGGGAAAAGAAGAAAGUUUGAAGAAAUUCUAUCUGGGUAGCUUUUGAAAUGCAUAUUAUUGUGUGAUAAAGUGCUCCAAGCUUAUUUUAACCAAUUAUCAAGAAGUUUAAUUGAUUUUCUGGAUUGUAUUUUUAAUUCUUGAAUUUAGGGUUCUUAUAUGAGAAUUGAAGGUUUUGUGAAAUAGUCAUACGAUGAUGUUGUUCGAGUGGAAUAACAUUGAAAUGACUUAAAAUCAUGAAUAAUUGAACAAAGAAAAUUGAUAAUUUUGUAUGAUUAAAGCCGAUCAAUUUUAAGGGGGAAUUCGGUAAAUGAUUUUAAACUUGUAGAAAUUUUAUAUUUUGAUGAGAAUUGAUGUAAAUAUGGUGAUUUAGGAUGAAAUUAAUGAUUAUAUCUAGUUGUGGUAGGAUUGUUAUAGUAUGGGGUGAGAAUUUUGUAAGAUAAAUAUGUAAGAUUGUGUUUUGAAUUAUAAAGGGUGUGAGUAAUAUUGGUAAGAUGAUUUGUGAUGGAAAUAAUUAAGAAGAAACAAAUUAGGAGAAAUUAAGAUCCUUGGGUUAGUCAAAUGAAGGAAGUUAUUUUAGAUAAUUGAUGUAUAUUUUUGUGAUAUUAUAAUCAAUUAUGAGUAAUGAAAAGAAAAUAUGGGGAGAAUUUAGGCAGUUAGAUGUUUGCGAAAUUAAGUUAAUAAACUUAUAUGAAAAAUAAUAAAAGUUAUGGAUAUUAAAAGUUAUGGAUAUGAAAAAUAAGGAUGUCUAGUUCAGGAUGUGACAUAUAUUAUGAAGAAAAAUUUUGUAAGGGAACUUCAUUAUGGUUCCUAAGUUUAUAUGAAUGGAUAAUAAUAAACUUGUUUUAUUUUGACAAAAGACACCUCGUGUAGCAGGUAAGCCUACACUUUGAUGUAUUUAAUGUUUUUCCCUUAAAUUUUAUUAAUUGUAAUUUUUUUGGAAACAUAAAUCAUGAACAAUAAAUGGAGAAAUAAUAAGGUGAAAGAAAAAGAAAGAAUUGUGAACUUGAUUAGUUGUCCAAAGUAAAUUGGGAGCUAAUGAUAUCAAUAUGAUAUACCCAUGCACAAAGAUUUUCUCUCCCUUACAACAAAGUUGAUGAAAAUUAUGAGAAGUUCUUAUAACCACACAGCCAUAAAUGUUACUUUUUGAUGCACAUGUAGCCAUAGAAAAAUAACAUUUACACUGUAAAAUAUUUUUCACUAUUUUUGCUAGUUAAAGUCUUCCAAACAUAUCUAUUUAAAAGAUUUAGGGGGAUGAUGGUAUAAAAUUAUUUAAGUGUUUUUAAAAAAUUGAUUUAUUAUCGUUGAGGCAUGUAAGCUAAACAUCAAUAAUUAUAGUUAUCGUUUGGGCCACAUGGUUGAAACGAUAAAAAAUUAAAGAACAAGAAAACAUGAUAUCCACUUUUCAUGAGACACUUGAAACAAUAAUAUUUGAUAGUAUAAAAAAUAAUUAACUUUUUAAAAAAUAUAUAUAGUUAAUUUGUUUUUGUUUGAGACAUGUGACCCAAACAACAACUAUCCUUUAUCAUUGUUUGAGCCUUGGUCCAAACAACAACACCCAUAUCAUUUAGGCUUGACCUCAAUAGGUUACACCCUAUAGUUUUUCCACUAUUUUUUCAGCACAUUCCAAUGUACUUUUUUAAAUUUUAAGUAAUCAGAAUGCAGCAACACGUUUCACCCACGCACACAAUAUUUGUAUGAUUUAUUGAUAUAUUUUUAACAAACUCUUUGCAAGUACAAACUUUAAUGCAUGCAUCAUAUUUUUUUAGUUAGUGUUUGACAUCACAAACUAGAACAAUUUUCUCUCCUACUAUUACUGAUUAAGCAUUAGAGAAUCCUUUAUUCUACGAGGGAUUUAUUUUCUAAGGAUUACUCAAGCCUAGAUAUAAGCCAAAUAUGAAGCCUAUCUCAUGCAUCUUGGUUCAGUUUUACAAACUGUGAAAAGCCUAAUUUCUAUGCAAUGGUUUAUCCCGACUUCAUCAAUAUUCAUGUUAGUUAAUUAUAAGAAAAAUAAUCAGAAAACUAUAAGUAAUGGGUAUUGGCCAUUCAAUUGUAGUAAGUAGACCGGACAACUAAAAAUGUUAAAGAUAUAAAACGAGCCAAAUAAUUAGAAUAGUAAAGAAGAAAAACUCAUUUUAACAUCUAAUAUAAUAUAUGUUAAUGAUAUUCCAAAAUUCAAGAUACUUAGGAAUAAGUUUUUUGGUAGUUAGAUAAUAGGUUUAAUCAAGUGUUCAUGCAAUUAGAUCCAUUUUUCAUUAGGAAAGGAAAUGUGGUGGCUUGAUGUAAGGAUUGUGAUACCUAUAAGAAAAAGUAUUUCUGGUGGAUUUAGGGACCCUCAGUACUUAAAUCAGUAUCUUUAUAGAAAAAAAAUAAAUUAAAUAUGCAAAAGAGUAUUAAAUUCUAAUAACAAGGUUGUUUGUUCUUGUUUUUUAUAUGAGAAUAAGUGUUUUAUAAGAAAAUGAUGUGUAUAUAUUGAGAAUGAAAAUUAUGAACCCCUUACCUAGGUGGUUCAAAUGACAUUUAUAUUUCAUGAAUCUCGUCUUUUUGCUUGAAUAAAGAGGUUGAAAAGUCAUUCAACCCUGAUAAUAUUAAUAAGAGAUUAAAUAUCUCUUACACAUGUAUUAAUAAGAGAUAAAUAUCCUUACACAAACAUUAAUAAGGAACAAAUAUUCUUGAUACAUGUGUUAAUGAGAUGAAAAUAUGAUCGACCAAAAAAAUGGGGUUGAAUUAAGAUUUAGAAAAAAAAAUAAAAUUUUUAUAUCAAAUGUGAAAAAACAAUUUCAUAUUAUACUUAAGGAAGGGCAAAAAAGUAAAUUACCCUAGAAAAUAGUAUAAAAAAGGGGGAUUUUCUUCUCUUUAAGUCGACAACUACAAACAAAGUAAAAGGGAAGAAAUUCUCAAUUUUUCUCACCAAGAAUUUUAGAGAAACCAAGAGAAAAUCAAAGGAUUUAGGGAAGAAUUGAGGGAAACACAUACACACAUCUCUAAACACUUGAUUAAGAAUGAAAGAGAAAAAAAAUAAUUAAAGAGAGGGGCUCCAUAAUCAUGGCAGCAAGGAAGAAAAAAAAAGGAUUCAGAAAAUUUUUAACUGAUUAAGAUUCAAAGACUUGAAUAACAUCUAGUAAGGGGUUCUGGACCUACUCUAGCAAUUUCAUGUAAUUCAAAUAACAUUUAAUGUAGAAAUCAUGAAUUUUAGUAUAGGGUUUAUAGAAAAAAUUUUGGAAAAAUAAAAAUUAACUAUGAAUUGAUAAAAUUUAAUUAGAUUAAGUUGUGUUGGGUGUUGAAUUUAGUAGAAUUAAUAAAGAAAAAUAUAGGGUCCUUAAGAACCUAAAUGGCCUGUCAAAGAGGAAAGUUAGGCUCAUGAUAUAUAAUUACAUGUAAUUAAGUGAAAUUAUUGUGAACUAAUGUAUAUUUAUGUGGGGAAAUAAUUUUCAGAAGAAUUGAAUUAUAAUUUGAAAUUUUGAUUGAAAUGUUGUAGUGUAGUCAUAGAUUUUGUUAACAUGAAUAUUACAUAAAUUGACUUUAGAUGCUUGAAUAAAGAUUUAAAUGAGCAUGAAGGGUUUUAAAGGAUUGAAAUUAAUGAUAUUACAAUAUAUAUAUAUAUAUAUAUAUAUAUAUAUAUAUAUAUAUAUAUAAUUUGGAAAUGAGAAUUUAUUUGGUUAUGAAUAUAAAAAUAAAAUUUGAUAUGUCUGUUGAUACAGAAGAAGCUUUAGUAUUGGUAUUUACCUAGUAAUGGGUAGAGAAUUUAGAUUGUUGUAAGAGGAAAUAAUAUAAGCACUUAGACGAACCAAGAAUUACCCAGUGUUGGAUAUAGGUUAAAAGAGCUUAAUAUGAAGAUUACAAUUUAGGGAAAAAAAAAUGUGUAUUAGAAAUAAUGAUAGAUGAGAAAUAUUGAUAUAGAAAAUAAAUUGUGUAAGUUAAAAGUAAAUUAUGUUAAUGGCAAUUGAAUAAAUGAAUUGUGUUCAAACAUGUCAUUGCAUUUAUUUUAAUUGCCUUGGUAAAUUAUUGUUACAUACUAAAUUGUUGCUCGUAUAUUAAUUUACAGGUACCUAUCAACCUCGAGCAGCAUAAUAGAUAUUUAGAGAUCUUUGUUAAUUUUGUAAAGGAUUGUAAUAAUUAUCAUUUGUAACUGAAU
rnacentral:lncRNA from 1 species